rnacentral:ncRNA from 1 species
CGAUGUGAAUCCGGGAGCUUGGGCAACCAGGCUGAGAGGGGUUCUGGCCCGCAACGGGAGUGAACUCGACCGGGGAACCUGAUCCGGGUAAUGCCGGCGGAGGAAGCCAUGCAGGGCAAACGAGC